rnacentral:rRNA from 1 species
UACAGAGGUCCCAAGCGUUGUUCGGAUUCAUUGGGCGUAAAGGGUGCGUAGGCGGCGCGGUAAGUCGGGUGUGAAAUCUCGGAGCUUAACUCCGAAACUGCAUUCGAUACUGCCGUGCUUGAGGACUGGAGAGGAGACUGGAAUUUACGGUGUAGCGGUGAAAUGCGUAGAUAAUCGUAAGGAAGACCAGUGGCGAAGGCGGGUCUCUGGGCCGAUACUGACGCUGAGGAGCGAAAGCGUGGGGAGCAAACAGG